rnacentral:rRNA from 1 species
UACGGGGUGCAGCAGGCGCGAAAACUUUACAAUGCGGGCAACCGUGAUAAGGGAACCUCGAGUGCCUGUACAUGCAGGCUGUUCAGGUGUCUAAAACACACCUGAAGAAAGGGCCGGGCAAGACCGGUGCCAGCCGCCGCGGUAAUACCGGCGGCUCGAGUGGUGGCCACUUUUAUUGGGCUUAAAGCGUUCGUAGCUGGGUUGUUAAGUCUCUUGGGAAAUCUGGCGGCUUAACCGUCAGGCGUCUAAGGGAUACUGGCAAUCUUGGAACCGGGAGAGGUGAGGGGUACUUCGGGGGUAGGAGUGAAAUCCUGUAAUCCUCGAGGGACCACCUGUGGCGAAGGCGCCUCACCAGAACGGCUUCGACAGUGAGGGACGAAAGCUGGGGGAGCAAACCGGAUUAGAUACCCGGGUAGUCCCAGCCGUAAACGAUGCGCGUUAGGUGUAUCGGUGACCACGAGUCACCGAGGUGCCGAAGGGAAACCGUGAAACGUGCCGCCUGGGAAGUACGGUCGCAAGGCUGAAACUUAAAGGAAUUGGCGGGGGAGCACCACAACGGGUGGAGCUUGCGGUUUAAUUGGAUUCAACGCCGGAAAUCUUACCGG